rnacentral:rRNA from 1 species
AAUUCAUCUCCGGGGGUAGAGCACUGUUUCGGCUAGGGGGCCAUCCCGGCUUACCAACCCGAUGCAAACUGCGAAUACCGGAGAAUGUUAUCACGGGAGACACACGGCGGGUGCUAACGUCCGUCGUGAAGAGGGAAACAACCCAGACCGCCAGCUAAGGUCCCAAAGUCAUGGUUAAGUGGGAAACGAUGUGGGAAGGCCCAGACAGCCAGGAUGUUGGCUUAGAAGCAGCCAUCAUUUAAAGAAAGCGUAAUAGCUCACUGGUCGAGUCGGCCUGCGCGGAAGAUGUAACGGGGCUAAACCAUGCACCGAAGCUGCGGCAGCGACGCUGAUGCGUUGUUGGGUAGGGGAGCGUUCUGUAAGCCUGUGAAGGUGGCCUGUGAGGGUUGCUGGAGGUAUCAGAAGUGCGAAUGCUGACAUAAGUAACGAUAAAGCGGGUGAAAAGCCCGCUCGCCGGAAGACCAAGGGUUCCUGUCCAACGUUAAUCGGGGCAGGGUGAGUCGACCCCUAAGGCGAGGCCGAAAGGCGUAGUCGAUGGGAAACGGGUUAAUAUUCCCGUACUUGGUGUUACUGCGAAGGGGGGACGGAGAAGGCUAUGUUGGCCGGGCGACGGUUGUCCCGGUUUAAGCGUGUAGGUGUGUGUUCCAGGUAAAUCCGGUUCACUUUAACACUGAGGCGUGAUGACGAGGCACUACGGUGCUGAAGCAACAAAUGCCCUGCUUCCAGGAAAAGCCUCUAAGCAUCAGGUAACAUCAAAUCGUACCCCAAACCGACACAGGUGGUCAGGUAGAGAAUACCAAGGCGCUUGAGAGAACUCGGGUGAAGGAACUAGGCAAAAUGGUGCCGUAACUUCGGGAGAAGGCACGCUGACACGUAGGUGAAGUGAUUUACUCAUGGAGCUGAAGUCAGUCGAAGAUACCAGCUGGCUGCAACUGUUUAUUAAAAACACAGCACUGUGCAAACACGAAAGUGGACGUAUACGGUGUGACGCCUGCCCGGUGCCGGAAGGUUAAUUGAUGGGGUCAGCGCAAGCGAAGCUCCUGAUCGAAGCCCCGGUAAACGGCGGCCGUAACUAUAACGGUCCUAAGGUAGCGAAAUUCCUUGUCGGGUAAGUUCCGACCUGCACGAAUGGCGUAAUGAUGGCCAGGCUGUCUCCACCCGAGACUCAGUGAAAUUGAACUCGCUGUGAAGAUGCAGUGUACCCGCGGCAAGACGGAAAGACCCCGUGAACCUUUACUAUAGCUUGACACUGAACAUUGAGCCUUGAUGUGUAGGAUAGGUGGGAGGCUUUGAAGUGUGGACGCCAGUCUGCAUGGAGCCGGCCUUGAAAUACCACCCUUUAAUGUUUGAUGUUCUAACGUGGACCCGUGAUCCGGGUUGCGGACAGUGUCUGGUGGGUAGUUUGACUGGGGCGGUCUCCUCCUAAAGAGUAACGGAGGAGCACGAAGGUUGGCUAAUCCUGGUCGGACAUCAGGAGGUUAGUGCAAUGGCAUAAGCCAGCUUGACUGCGAGCGUGACGGCGCGAGCAGGUGCGAAAGCAGGUCAUAGUGAUCCGGUGGUUCUGAAUGGAAGGGCCAUCGCUCAACGGAUAAAAGGUACUCCGGGGAUAACAGGCUGAUACCGCCCAAGAGUUCAUAUCGACGGCGGUGUUUGGCACCUCGAUGUCGGCUCAUCACAUCCUGGGGCUGAAGUAGGUCCCAAGGGUAUGGCUGUUCGCCAUUUAAAGUGGUACGCGAGCUGGGUUUAGAACGUCGUGAGACAGUUCGGUCCCUAUCUGCCGUGGGCGCUGGAGAACUGAGGGGGGCUGCUCCUAGUACGAGAGGACCGGAGUGGACGCAUCACUGGUGUUCGGGUUGUCAUGCCAAUGGCACUGCCCGGUAGCUAAAUGCGGAAGAGAUAAGUGCUGAAAGCAUCUAAGCACGAAACUUGCCCCGAGAUGAGUUCUCCCUGAGACUUAGAGUCUCCUGAAGGAACGUUGAAGACGACGACGUUGAUAGGCCGGGUGUGUAAGCGCAGCGAUGCGUUGAGCUAACCGGUACUAAUGAACCGUGAGGCUUAACCUU